rnacentral:rRNA from 1 species
GACGAACGCUGGCGGCGUGCUUAACACAUGCAAGUCGAACGGAAAGGCCCUGCUUUUGUGGGGUGCUCGAGUGGCGAACGGGUGAGUAACACGUGAGUAACCUGCCCUUGACUUUGGGAUAACUUCAGGAAACUGGGGCUAAUACCGGCUAGGAGCUCCUGCUGCAUGGUGGGGGUUGGUAAGUUUCGGCGGUUGGGGAUGGACUCGCGGCUUAUCAGCUUGUUGGUGGGGUAGUGGCUUACCAAGGCUUUGACGGGUAGCCGGCCUGAGAGGGUGACCGGCCAAAUUGGGACGGAGAUACGGCCCAGACUCCUACGGGAGGCAGCAGUGGGGAAUAUUGCACAAUGGGAGGAGGCCUGAUGCAGCAACGCCGCGUGCGGGAUGACGGCAUUCGGGUUGUAAACCGCUUUCGCCUGUGACGAAGCGUGAGUGACGGUAAUGGGUAAAGAAGCACCGGCUAACUACGUG